UGCUCCAUGCGAUAUCACGCAUACGCCGCGUAAACGUAUCUCAAGAUCUGUGCCACAUUCGGCCGUAAUUGCAUAUGAAAUUGUUCGAAUUUUUAAAUUACAAAUUACAAAAAUAAUGUAAUAAAUAUUUUGCUUAGCUCGCUGACAGAUUUGGUGCAACUGCAACAGUUUUAAAAAUACCCCGGCUUAUGAGAUGGCCCACCAGCUGUGCACAGCUUUGUUUUGUGGGCCGUAAAAACACAGCUCUUGAUAUAUAAUGUCAAAAGCACGAAAAUGUAACAAAUGACACACUCAGGGGGAAGCCUAAAAACAAGCGAAUCGGGCAUUAUGCUGAAGAGAUCAGGAAAACAAAGAACCCGGCCAGCAAACAAACCAUAAAAAACACAACAACCAGAAACAACCAGAAACAACAACCAAAACGCUAAUCAAAUAUGCAAGCAAUGAGCUUCAUCAACAUAAAAUUAAAAAAUCAUAAAAUGCUAAACUGCUAAACUGCACAGCAUGAACAAAAUCUAAAAUCAAAAGCCGAAUCCAAAUCCAAAUAAAAACAAAAAUCAGAUAUCUUGACAACGAGCUGGGGCGUCAAAAUGCCUCGUAAUUGCGGCACAUGUACGAAAAACAGCAGAAACGAAAAUCAGAAAAUGAUUUUACGAUCCAGCCGUGUACAUAUGGUGAUAUGGAAAUGGUCAGCACCGUCACACGGAUGUUCCAUCGACUCGAUCACUUUGUCAUUCCAUCAGCAUGUGAUCUUCGCCUCCAGCUUCGAUUUGAGUUAUGGGAUCUGUGUGGAUAGUAACCGAGAUAUUGAUUCUACUUUCACUCUCAUAUGGGUUAUUUAUGCGGAAAAGAAUUCCAUGCCGGCUUAUGAUUUAAGGAGGAGCUUAAAGACUUAAGCUUUCAGGAAAUGCAAACAAAUCACCGGAAAUUCAGCUUCAACUUUUAGUAAUUCUUUUUAAAAUGCAAGAAGAGAGAUAAAUCUUACAUUAACAAUUUUAAUAUAUGGCAACAAGAUAAUUUUAAUUAUUUUUCAUUUCUAUAGUUGGCAAACAACUAUAGAUAUAGUGAUAAAUUUUGAAUUU